UAACACAUGCAAGUCGAACGGUAACAGGAAGCAGCUUGCUGCUUCGCUGACGAGUGGCGGACGGGUGAGUAAUGUCUGGGAAACUGCUUGAUGGAGGGGGAUAACUACUGGAAACGGUAGCUAAUACCGCAUAACGUCGCAAGACCAAAGAGGGGGACCUUCGGGCCUCUUGCCAUCGGAUGUGCCCAGAUGGGAUUAGCUAGUAGGUGGGGUAACGGCUCACCUAGGCGACGAUCCCUAGCUGGUCUGAGAGGAUGACCAGCCACACUGGAACUGAGACACGGUCCAGACUCCUACGGGAGGCAGCAGUGGGGAAUAUUGCACAAUGGGCGCAAGCCUGAUGCAGCCAUGCCGCGUGUAUGAAGAAGGCCUUCGGGUUGUAAAGUACUUUCAGCGGGGAGGAAGGCGAUAAGGUUAAUAACCUUGUCGAUUGACGUUACCCGCAGAAGAAGCACCGGCUAACUCCGUGCCAGCAGCCGCGGUAAUACGGAGGGUGCAAGCGUUAAUCGGAAUUACUGGGCGUAAAGCGCACGCAGGCGGUCUGUCAAGUCGGAUGUGAAAUCCCCGGGCUCAACCUGGGAACUGCAUUCGAAACUGGCAGGCUAGAGUCUUGUAGAGGGGGGUAGAAUUCCAGGUGUAGCGGUGAAAU
rnacentral:rRNA from 1 species